rnacentral:misc_RNA from 1 species
GAUGAAGAAGUAGCGAAAUGCGAUACGUAAUGUGAAUUGCAGAAUUCAGUGAAUCAUCGAGUCUUUGAACGCACAUUGCGCCCUCUGGUAUUCCGGAGGGCAUGCCUGUCCGAGCGUCAUUGCUGCCCUCAAGCACGGCUUGUGUGUUGGGCCCCGCCCCCCGAUCCCGGGGGGCGGGCCCGAAAGGCAGCGGCGGCACCGCGUCCGGUCCUCGAGCGUAUGGGGCUUUGUCACCCGCUCUGUAGGCCCGGCCGGCGCCUGCCGAUCAACCAAACUUUUUUCCAGGUUGACCUCGGAUCAGGUAGGGAUACCCGCUGAACUUAAGCAUAUCAAUAAGCGGAGGA